CUCUUCACAUUAUCCACUAAAGACAGAUAAUGAAAUUAACUUGAAGAGAUUCAGAGAAGACUUGACAGAGAAAACCACACUACAUCGGCAAAAGAUUUGGAGUACAGGGUGAAUAAGCAGGUA